AUGUCUGAUUUUGUGGAAAGCGAGGCUGAGGAGUCAGAGGAAGAAUACAAUGAUGAAGGCGAGGUGGUACCCCGAGUCACCAAGAAAUUUGUGGAAGAGGAGGAUGAUGGUGAGGAGGCCCCAGCCUCAAGCUUCUCCCCACUAUUGCUAAGCUUUGGAUAGUUGGAUUCUUGCUGAUGAAAAGCUCAGGCUCAGCACAGAAGUUAUCACACAUGAGAUGAGGAGGAGGAGGAGGAGAACCUAGAUGAUCAGGAUGAGCAAGGCAACUUGAAAGGCUUUAUCAAUGACGAUGAUGAUGAAGAUGAAGGGGAGGAGGAUGAGGGCAGUGACUCUGGUGAUUCAGAAGAUGAUGUUGGCCACAAGAAGAGAAAACGCACCUCUUUUGAUGACCGCCUGGAGGAUGAUGAUUUUGACCUCAUUGAGGAGAAUUUGGGUGUCAAAGUCAAAAGAGGACAAAAGUACCGGCGUGUCAAAAAAAUGUCA
rnacentral:lncRNA from 1 species